ACUUUAAUUGAAGAGUUUGAUCAUGGCUCAGAUUGAACGCUGGCGGCAGGCCUAACACAUGCAAGUCGAGCGGAAACGACAACAUUGACCCUUCGGGUGAUUUGUUGGGCGUCGAGCGGCGGAC
rnacentral:rRNA from 1 species